rnacentral:rRNA from 1 species
AAACUUAAAGGAAUUGACGGGGCCGCACAAGCGGUGGAGCAUGUGGUUUAAUUCGAAGCAACGCGAAGAACCUUACCAGGUCUUGACAUCCCGAUGCUAUUUCUAGAGAUAGAAAGUUACUUCGGUACAUCGGUGACAGGUAGUGCAUGGUUGUCGUCAGCUCGUGUCGUGAGAUGUUGGGUUAAGUCCCGCAACGAGCGCAACCCUUGUCUUUAGUUACCAUCAUUCAGUUGGGGACUCUAGAGAGACUGCCGGUGAUAAACCGGAGGAAGGCGGGGAUGACGUCAAAUCAUCAUGCCCCUUAUGGCCUGGGCUACAAACGUAAUACAAUGGCGUAUACAAAGGGAUGCGAAAGGGCGACCUGGAGCAAAACUCACAAAGUACGUCUCAGUUCAGAUUGGAGUCUGCAACUCGACUCCAUGAAGGCGGAAUCGCUAGUAAUCGCGGAUCAGCAUGCCGCGGUGAAUACGUUCUCGGGGUUU